rnacentral:rRNA from 1 species
AUUGAACGCUGGCGGCAGGCCUAACACAUGCAAGUCGAGCGAGCGGCGGACGGGUGAGUAAUGUAUGGGAAACUGCCUGAUGGAGGGGGAUAACUACUGGAAACGGUAGCUAAUACCGCAUACUAUCAGAUGUGCCCAGAUGGGAUUAGCUAGUAGGUGAGGUAAUGGCUCACCUAGGCGACGAUCCCUAGCUGGUCUGAGAGGAUGACCAGCCACACUGGGACUGAGACACGGCCCAGACUCCUACGGGAGGCAGCAGUGGGGAAUAGUGCACAAUGGGCGCAAGCCUGAUGCAGCCAUGCCGCGUGUAUGAAGAAGGCCUUAGGGUUGUAAAGUACUUUCAGUGGGGAGGCGUUACCGGCAGAAGAAGCACCGGCUAACUCCGUGCCAGCAGCCGCGGUAAUAC